GGGAUUGUGUCUCAGUGGUAGAGCAUCUGCUUUGCAUGCAGAUGUUCCAAAAUUCAACCCCCA
rnacentral:tRNA from 1 species